GACGAACGCUGGCGGCGUGCUUAACACAUGCAAGUCGAACGGAAAGGCCUGCUUUCCCUUGUGGAUUGCGGGUACUCGAGUGGCGAACGGGUGAGUAACACGUGAGUGAUCUGCCCCCAACUUGGGUAUAAGCCUGGGAAACUGGGUCUAAUUCCCGAUAGGACUGCAGGGUGGUGCCUGUGGUGGAAAACGAUUUUCUAGUGGUUGGGGAUGAGCUCGCGGCCUAUCAGCUUGUUGGUGGGGUAAUGGCCUAUCAAGGCGGCGACGGGUAGCCGGCCUGGGAGGGUGGACGGCCACAUGGGGACUGAGAUACGGCCCAGACUCCUACGGGAGGCAGCAGUGGGGAAUAUUGCACAAUGGGCGGAAGCCUGAUGCAGCGACGCCGCGUGGGGGAUGACGGCCUUCGGGUUGUAAACUCCUUUCGACCGCGAGGAAGCCACCUGGUUGGAAGGGUGGUGACGGUAGUGGUAGAAGAAGCACCGGCUAACUACGUG
rnacentral:rRNA from 1 species